CAGGUAAAAGGCUACUGAAGCACGGAGAUUUUUGUAAUUUCUUGGAAAGAUUAAGCCAAUGGACCCAGGAUGCAUGCUUCAAGUGUCUACAGAUUACAGGAAACAUGUUUCUUCAAGUGCCUACAUGCUACAGGAAGUAAAGCUUCUUAUAGUAGUCAUCAAACCUAGAUACCAAUUUAUUGGAAUUAUUAUAUUUUUUAUAAAAGUACUCAAACCUGGAUAUCAAUUUAUCGGAUCCAUUAAGGAGAGGUGACACUCUUGGAGAGUCAAGUAAUGCAAUAUAUUCUCUCUCUGCCAGAACCAAACUGUACCAGCACCAACGAACGCCUUUGUGCUAGGAAUAAAUAGGAUGAAUAAAUCUCUACCAGCACCAACAUUGACAGCUUGUUUGUUCACACGUAGCAAUGUUUUGCAUUAAACUGAACCAUGCCAAUACAUAAAACUUCAACAUGAGACUUUGUAAAAAGUUAAUCUUUGCAAUACGACAAAGGUUCACAACAUCAAAUGAUCACAGUCUAGCCAAGGUUACAUAAAAACUGAAUCUUUGCAUUAUUAGCACCACCCAACAAAGAUUUUCAUUGCUCAAGGAUCUUCCUCUGUCCGUUCAGCAUCACACUUCACCCAAUAUUUCCUGCAAAAUAUGAUGAGAAAUGGUGACAUAUGGUCUCAUAGGGCACAAUGGUUGUACAAAUUGCUCAAAGUGAAUACAUAACUGAAUCUUUGCAUUAUUAGCACCACCCAACAAAGAUUUUCAUUGCUCAAGGAUCUUCCUCUGUCCGUUCAGCAUCACACUUCACCCAAUAUUUCCUGCAAAAUAUGAUGAGAAAUGGUGACAUAUGGUCUCAUAGGGCACAAUGGUUGUACAAAUUGCUCAAAGUGAAAGAUGUGACAGCCAAUAAGACAAAUCAAAGUGUGACACGAUAAGCUUUAGCUUGCAACAAUCUUUACAAAGGGUAAAAAAAAUACCUCAACUUGAUAUAGAAGUUGCUCAAAGGUUAACUUGCACUUCAUUUGCACAAUUAUCAUGAAUCGAAAGGUAGUGGCGACAAACCAGCAACAACCGAGUAGGUUAAGUAGGACCAAAACUAAGUCGAUAAGAGACUACAUAUUAAAACAGAGGAUAUAUAUAGGAAAAUGGGUUGGUACACCUAGGAGUACAUACUCCUAUGUCAUGUGUCAUUUCUUUUUUUAUUUUCCACUGUUGUUUAUUGUGCCAUCGCAACAAACCUCCUUAGCAUUUAGUUAGUUGAUUAGGUGCUAAUCAGAAGUGGUCCCGUGGAGUUUGAAAGUUUGUUCCAUACUAAUAGGGAUAAGGCACAUUCAGAUUCAAAUCUUGUUAGCACCGCAUUAACAUGCAUCGUUCUUCUUUCAUUAAAAUCAAUCCACCUACUGAUUAGGGCUUGGAGACAAGACGCAGCCGGCAGCCGCUUGUUGACUCGACGACGAGGCACAUUAGAUGUGGUUGGCGCAACUCAAACUUGAAGAUGAGAAGAUGAGAUGCUGCCGACAAUCUAACUCGUCAAGGUGCAUCAUUUAUUCAAUAUUAUUUCUGGUCUACGAACUUCAGAUUGAGCUGCAAAAGCAUGCAUCAACCACUCUUUCCGUGACUAAUUCAUUGCUUGCUCAGGUAGGCAUCUAGUUGGCUGUACCCCUUAUCUAAGCUCUAUGCAUGCAGGUAGAAUUUCCCAAGGUGUCAUCUGGAGGCCAUGGAUAGCAUGGCGUGGAGUGCCUGCGAUUUCGAUGCGUUGGACUCCUAACAUCAUGCUGCCCACCGUGCGUGUGCUUGCCGGCGACAAACAGAACAACAACAAGAAGAUGCUUUUGCAGUGAAGAACAAAUGAAUGUAGACUAGAUAUCCACUCCAGAAUGCAUAUGUAAUACGUGCAUGCUUAUCAUACAUUUCUCUAUGGAUGUAUCAAAUUUAGUGAAUAUACUUCAAUUUCAGCAGAGUAUAUACUUCAUUCAAGUGGAUAUACUUCAAAUCAAUUUCAGCAGAGAGUAUGCAUCAUUCGUAUGAACAACUGAAUAUACUGCUAUAUCAGCUGGGUAUAUCCUUUUUUUGGUCGAGAAGUAUAUACUCCAAUAAAAAAAAGUAUAUACUCUCCAAUUAAAAAAUUAAGUACAAACUCCUAAACCCUUGGCCACAGUACUCCAAUUAAAAUUUAAAUAUUUAGUAUAUACUCUUCUCGCUAGUACUAGAUACUCAUUGAUCGCAAUGCUAAUUGCACAAGAAAGCAACUAAAAAAUUGCACAAGAAAACCGUAUACUUUUGUUAUAAGCAGUAUAUACCGGUCUAAAAAUAUAUACAUCACAAAAUAGUAUAUAAUCCUACUUUUUUUGAAGUAUAUACUCCUAUGAAGAAACGACUGUAUAUACUUCUUUUUGUGGUAGGUUGUUCUUUGAUCGGAGAGUAGUAUAUAUGUCGCAUAUACUGCAAAAUAGUGCUUCCAGCACACAUUGAUAGGGAACAAGAAUUAGUUAUUCCUCAUGUAUGAAUGAUGCUCAAAGCAUUCAUUGUUAAUCUAGGACUCCCGACUGAUGUUCUUGAAUUACAACUCUACACAUGGCCUACAAGCAGUCACCCAGUCACUUAGCUAAUCCAAACAGAGCAAAAUUAUCCGAAGAACCUGUCUAGAUCUUAUGGAGCAAUAUAUUGCAGCAAUCAAAGGAAAUAACAACCUAGUCCAUAUGACAAUGUUGUGACAAUAUAUCCAAGCAAAUAUAUUGCAGCAACCAACUGAAGAACCACUCUGAUUGAAAGAGGCGAAGCAUACCCUGCUUGCUCCCAGACCAAGAGCCCCGGUGCCUCUUGCUCCUUAGUCCUCCGGGGGUGGAGUUGACCUACCGUGGGCUGCCCAGAUCGGGUGGCUGGAGUGAGGCGUCCUGCUGAACAGGUGGGUUCAGGUUAGGGUUAGGGUUCAAGAAGAAAAACGCAUCAGAGAGAGGGAGGGGGGAGAAGAGAGGUGGGGAAGGGAGCGAGAGGAGAAGCCUUACCGGUGGCGAGAGGGACAGGUAACCAAGACGUCGGAGUGUCCUUGCGACCUUGCCGGAGAGGGACAGUACGGGGCGGAGAUGGACCGGGACCGGGACGGGACGGGGCGGGGUGGAGGAUAGGGUGGGUGGCGGCGGGGUGGAGGAGAGGGAUCGAGAGAGACAGAGAGCUGCGUCGGGCCUCCAAAUCCAGACAAAUGAGGGCAUCUCCGGCCGUUGGCCCUCCAGGAAGGGCAAAAAAUCGCCCCUGGAGGCGCACCGGCGCUAAGCCCCG
rnacentral:lncRNA from 1 species